rnacentral:rRNA from 1 species
GAUGAACGCUGGCGGCGUGCCUAAUACAUGCAAGUCGAGCGAACAGACGAGGAGCUUGCUCCUCUGACGUUAGCGGCGGACGGGUGAGUAACACGUGGAUAACCUACCUAUAAGACUGGGAUAACUUCGGGAAACCGGAGCUAAUACCGGAUAAUAUAUUGAACCGCAUGGUUCAAUAGUGAAAGACGGUUUUGCUGUCACUUAUAGAUGGAUCCGCGCCGCAUUAGCUAGUUGGUAAGGUAACGGCUUACCAAGGCAACGAUGCGUAGCCGACCUGAGAGGGGGAUCGGCCACACUGGAACAGAGACACGGUCCAGACUCCUACGGGAGGCAGCAGUAGGGAAUCAUCCGAGAUGGGCGAAAGCCUUACGGGGCAACGCCGCGUGAGUGAUGAAGGUCUUCGGAUCGUAAAACUCUGUUAUUAGGGAAGAACAAAUGUGUAAGUAACUAUGCACGUCGUGACGGUACCUAAUCAGAAAGCCACGGCUAACUACG